rnacentral:rRNA from 1 species
UACAGAGGUCCCAAGCGUUGCUCGGAUUCAUUGGGCGUAAAGGGUGCGUAGGCGGCGCGGUAAGUCGGGUGUGAAAUCUCGGAGCUUAACUCCGAAACUGCAUUCGAUACUGCCGUGCUUGAGGACUGGAGAGGAGACUGGAAUUUACGGUGUAGCGGUGAAAUGCGUAGAUAUCGUAAGGAAGACCAGUGGCGAAGGCGGGUCUCUGGACAGUUCCUGACGCUGAGGCACGAAGGUCAGGGGAGCAAACGGG